CUGCAGAAGGAAGUCAAGGAGGAGAAUCCUGGGAUCGUGGCCUCUCUGGACCCUGCAGCUCGUUUUGGCUCCUUGACUCCUCAGGAAGGAUAAACGGAACAGAUUCUGCAAAGCUAAUGAGAAUGGAAGGGGGGAAGAUGGACGGAUGACCUGGUCAGGUUGUCUCCUGCAUCACUCCUCUCAGCCUCUGAGCAUUCCCUCCCAGGGACCUCCGAGAGAUCUGACAAGGUGUAGAUGUUCCAUACAUACCUGUAUGUGAUGAACUUCAACUCUUUGGCUGGAGACCAACAGCGUCUGGCAUUCUAACAUCCAGACAGUGAACCCAGAAUGGAGGGAUAUCAACUGUUUCCUCUGUGAAUGUUCUGCGUCUAGUCAUGCCUUUUAAAACAGUGACCAGGCUUCUCUGAACCACCCAGGCCUUCUUAAAUGCCGGCUUCAGAGUUUUUAGGGAAGUUGAUGUAAAUUCUGUCAGGCUUGUUGUUUUUGCUUCUGUUUGCAUUUGAUUGACCAAAGACAUGACUGACCUUGGAGAUGGAGUGGAUUCCAGGGUUGAGCCAGAACAAAAUCCAUUCCAGAUAAAAGCCAAGCAAUAUGUCAGUAAAUACCAGCCAGAGAAAAUGUUUUGGAAAAUGCUCUAUAGAUGGUAUCUUACGCCGGCAAAAUUGGCUAAAAUCUAUAGAUCAGAAAAUAAGACAUGCUGGAAAUGUGGUGAAGUGGAGGGAGACCUCUACCA